AUACGGAGGGUGCAAGCGUUAUGCGGAAUCAUUGGGUUUAAAGGGUCCGCAGGCGGACUAAUAAGUCAGUGGUGAAAUCCUCUCGCUUAACGAGAGAACUGCCAUUGAAACUGUUAGUCUUGAAUUCGGUCGAAGUAGGCGGAAUGUGUCAUGUAGCGGUGAAAUGCAUAGAUAUGACACAGAACACCGAUAGCGAAGGCAGCUUACUAGACCUGGAUUGACGCUCAUGGACGAAAGCGUGGGGAGCGAACAGGAUUAGAAACCCCAGUAGUCC
rnacentral:rRNA from 1 species